rnacentral:rRNA from 1 species
CAAUAGCGUAUAUUAAAGUUGUUGCAGUUAAAAAGCUCGUAGUUGGACUUCUGAUGUGGGACUGCGCCCCGGUAUUUUGCCGUUGGGUGCGGGCUCGCGUCUUCCUCUCGUAGUUGGAUGGUGCACUUAACUGGGUGCCUUCUGAAUAUGGGACCUUUACUUUGAAAAAAUUAGAGUGUUCAAAGCAGGCAAUCGCUUGAAUAUAUUAGCAUGGAAUAAUGGAAUAGGACCCUGGUUCUAUUUUGUUGGUUUUGAGAACCAGAGUAAUGAUUAAUAGGGAUAGUUGGGGGCAUUCAUAUUUCAUUGUCAGAGGUGAAAUUCUUGGAUUUAUGAAAGAUGAACUUCUGCGAAAGCAUUUGCCAAGGAUGUUUUCAUUAAUCAAGAACGAAAGUUAGGGGAUCGAAGAUGAUUAGAUACCGU